CACGGGGGGAGCAAGCGUUGUUCGGAAUCACUGGGACGUAAGGGCGUGUAGGCGGUCAAGUAAGUGGAAAUGGUGAAAUCCCCCGGCCUUACCCGGGGACCGGCAUCCCAUACUGCUUGGCUUGAGUACGGGAGAGGAUGUGGGAAUUCCUGGUGUAGCGGUGAAAUGCGUAGAUAUCAGGAGGACACCGGUGGCGAAGGCAAUCCCCUGGGCCUGCACUGACGCUCGAUGCACGAAAGCGUGGGGAGCAAACAGG
rnacentral:rRNA from 1 species